AAACAUUAAUCAGUCGGUUCCGGGUUAGUUUAUGCUUCAGUUUGUUGAUUAUAAAUAACCAACUAAGAUAUAUAAAAAUAUCUUGCUUCAGGAGUUGCACUGAAAUCUUUCGAGUACUUGGACAACAUCUUCAUUGCUUCCACAAUCUUGAAUACUUCAAUCUUUAUUCUUCACUGAGGCAUGAACAUAUUAAUGAACUUCUUCCAGUGAACUUAUUCCUUCAAGACUGUAGAUGGCUUCUUCAACCUUUGUCUUCGUAUCUUCCGAUUCCGGUGCAGGCGUAGUGUUAUUUACUUGUCCUGU
rnacentral:lncRNA from 1 species